AACGAACGCUGGCGGCAUGCCUAACACAUGCAAGUCGAACGAGACCUUCGGGUCUAGUGGCGCACGGGUGCGUAACGCGUGGGAACCUGCCCUUAGGUUCGGAAUAACUCCCCGAAAGGGGUGCUAAUACCGGAUAAUGUCUUCGGACCAAAGAUUUAUCGCCUUUGGAUGGGCCCGCGUUGGAUUAGCUAGUUGGUAGGGUAAAAGCCUACCAAGGCGACGAUCCAUAGCUGGUCCGAGAGGAUGGUCAGCCACACUGGGACUGAGACACGGCCCAGACUCCUACGGGAGGCAGGAAUGGGUGAUAUUGGACAAUGGGGGGAAGCCUGAUGCAGCAAGGCCGCGUGAGUGAUGAAGGCCGUAGGGUUGUAAAGCUCUUUUACCCGGGAUGAUAAUGACAGUACCGGGAGAAUAAGCUCCGGCUAACUCCGUG
rnacentral:rRNA from 1 species